AAAAGCUCCGGCAGUAUAGGAUGGUCCCGCGUCUGAUUAGCUGGUUGGCGGGGUAACGGCCCACCAAGGCGACGAUCAGUAGCCGGCUUGAGAGAGUGGACGGCCACAUUGGGACUGAGACACGGCCCAAACUCCUACGGGAGGCAGCAGUGGGGAAUAUUGCACAAUGGGGGAAACCCUGAUGCAGCGACGCCGCGUGAGUGAAGAAGUAUUUCGGUAUGUAAAGCUCUAUCAGCAGGGAAGAAAAAAGACGGUACCUGACUAAGAAGCCCCGGCUAACUACGUGCCAGCAGCCGCGGUAAUACGUAGGGGGCAAGCGUUAUCCGGAAUUACUGGGUGUAAAGGGUGCGUAGGUGGCAUGGUAAGUCAGAAGUGAAAGCCCGGGGCUUAACCCCGGGACUGCUUUUGAAACUGUCAUGCUGGAGUGCAGGAGAGGUAAGCGGAAUUCCUAGUGUAGCGGUGAAAUGCGUAGAUAUUAGGAGGAACACCAGUGGCGAAGGCGGCUUACUGGACUGUCACUGACACUGAUGCACGAAAGCGUGGGGAGCAAACAGGAUUAGAUACCCUGGUAGUCCACGCCGUA
rnacentral:rRNA from 1 species